GUUAAAUGGCCUCAGCAAAAGGAUGAUACCGCGAUAUCUGACGGCCUGACGUAAUUAAAGUGCGCGAGCGGAAGUGGCGUGGAAUAUGACCGAAAAAUCGGCGUGGUUGGUCGCUUAAGAACCAGCGGGAAAGACAAAAAGCUGCGGUUUGAUGUCUGCUUGGUGAACUAUGUCGUUCCUACCUUUCUUCUUCUCUGAGCGGCCUCCAUACGGACAAGAAACCCUGUAAAAUGUGCUUUCCUCUGUGUUGUGUUUGGAAGGCAGCAGAUGUCUCCUGAAUUCUGGGCCGACUGGACAUUUCUGUUUAGAUAUAACGUGAACACCGAAACUUCAGAAUGCCAAAAGCAAGUUCAAAGACUGUCACCACAAAUCUGUUCCUUUGUGUGCCGUUCCUAUCUCAGUGAAGGAUCCCGUCACCUACUCAGUUGUCAAUGUGAAAAAUGAGAACAUGUGGAAUGCUGUGCAGAGCACUAGUAACCAAACAAGAGCAGAUUAGAUCAGUAGAGAUCAUCAACUGUUGUUUCCCUUGCAUUUCCACACCAGGAGCCAACUCUUGUGCUAUGACUGAAUGGGUCCAUAUAUCGGAUUUCUCUUUAAUGCUAUUGUACCCAGAUCGUUAGAUCCCAGCAGAGACCCCCAGAGAGUCGAUCACACCAAGCUGCAAAAAGCAAGGUUUAUUCGGGAGUACAAGCCGCGACAGGGACCCUAUCCAACCAACCAGCACAGCAGAGGAAGGAGUGAGGCCCCGGUCUUUGGGAGAGUUUUUAAAGGAAAAAAAAAAAAGGGGGUGUUACAUCAGCAGGAAAAACAGAGUUGCAUCAGCGGGGGCUUACAGCACGGAGCUUUGGGUACAGGGAGUUACUUUGUUUAGCAAUCUCUACUGCGCUCUCCUAGGUCUACUGAGCUAGCUGUCCCUGGUAAGCUUUGAUAUCUCCGGAAUGCCUGAAUGCCUGCUUUUACAAGGACCCGGGUCUGCUAUGGGAAAUGGAGGCUGCUUUUUUUAUUGUUUUAAAAUGGAGUCACUUUGGCUCUUCAAUGCUUUAGUCUUAGUAUAAUGGAUUCUGCCAGAUGGGGACUCAGGAAAUGUUUGUAAUUUAUUCUGGACAAAUGAAUAGCUUUUCUCAGUCCUCCCUUUCCUUAGAAUGUAAGAUCAGUUUCCUAUACCUACAGUUUAGGAGUCCACCUUUUACAUUUUAUUAUACUUGCUCCAUCAUUUAUUUGUCACGUUAUUCAUCCAUACAUCUCUUUUUUGUUGUUGGGUGCUUUUCAAAGUGAAUUGUUUGGGGGCCGGCAUUGGUGUAGUGGGUAAAGCUUCCACCUGUACUGACAGCAUCCCGUAUGGACACCAGUUGGAGUUCCAGCUGCUCUACUUCCUAUCCGGCUUUCUGCUGUGGCCUGGGAGGGCAGUAGAAGAUGGCCCACGUCCCUGGGCUUCUGCACUGGUGUGGAAGAUCGAGAAGAAGCUUCUAGCUCUUGGCUAUAGAUCGGCUCAGCUCCAUCCAUUGCAGCCAUCUGGGGAGUGAAACAGCAGAUGGAAAAUUUUCUCCCUCUCUCUCUGCCUCUGCCUCUUUAUAACUCUGCCUGUCAAGUAAAUAAAUAAAUCUUUUUUUUUAAAAAAAGUGAAUUGUUUGUAUAAUUUUGAACAUUCCCUUUUCGAUACUUCUAUUUCUGUCUUUCAUUCACAGCUUUGGACUUCUGACUUUAAAGAUUUAUUUUACGUAUUUGAAAGGCAGAGUCAGAGAGAAGGAGAGAGAGAAAGAGAGAGAAAUCUUCGAUCUACUGGUUCACUCCCCAAAUGGCUGCAAUGGCUACGGCUGGGCCAGUCCAGGUCUUCCAUGUGGGUGACAGGGGCGUAAGUACUUGGGCCAUCUUCCCCUACUUUCCCAGGUGCAUUAGCAGGGAACUGGAUCAGAAGUGGAGCAACUGGGACUCAAACUGGUGCCCAUAUAUGAUGCCAGCAAUGCAGGUGGCUUAACCUACUGCAGUACAAUGCUGGCCCCAAACUUCUGAUACUGAUGUGUGUCUAAAAUAAAUCCACAUCUGACUUGCUUGCCUGACACCUGUUCCCUAAUUAAUGAGAAGUCUCAGCAGGCUGCAGAUUCAGGUUCUAAUCCACAUCUUCCAUUAUAUGAUUUGGUUGUGCAAAUUGUGUCCCAUUUUUCAGUAACUUGCUUCACGUACUUUUGUCACUGCACACAAAGAAUUCCAGAUAACAAGGUUUGAAUCCAGAGAAGUGAGAGGGGAGCUCUCUUGAUUCACUUUAAACCUAUCUUGACUCACCUCAAUUUUGACUUUGAAUUCUCUUUACCUUUCAUGUAUGAAGCAUGCAAACUGGAUCUCAUGGUUUCAUGUCAACAUCAGUCAUGUCAACAUUUUGUCUCCAGAAUUCCCAGAGAUACAUAGCAAGCUCUACAGAUGGUCUAAUUUUUUUUUUUUUUUUUUGACAGAGUGGACAAUGAGAGAGAGAAAGAGAGAAAAGUCUUCCUUUUCCGUUGGUUCACCCCCCAAUGGCCGCUGCGACUGGCGCGCUGCAGCCUGCGCACCACUCUGAUCCGAAGCCAGGAGCCAGGUGCUUCUCCUGGUCUCCCAUGGGGUGCAGGGCCCAAGGACUUGGGCCAUCCUCCACUGCACUCCCGGGCCAGAGCAGAGAGCUGGACUGGAAGAGGAGCAACCAGGACAGAAUCCGGCGCCCCGACCACGACUAGAACCCAGCAUGCUGGCGCCACAGGCAGAUGAUUAGCCUAUUGAGCUGUAGCGCUGGCCAACAGAUGGUCCUCUUGAAGUCUCGGUUUGAAUACUCUACCACCCACCCUCAUGUUAGCAUCUUAAUAACUACUCACUAAUUUCCAAUUCUGUCUUCAAUUUUAGCCCUUAUGUACUCUCAGAGAUGAGGGGACAAGGGUUUCAGAAUCUGUUUCCUACCACUCCUUUCUCAUUUCCAAAUGAUAUUUUCAUCUUUCUUGCCUCAUUUUGGUUAUAGGGAUACCUGGCAUCUGUUUUCAAGGAGGCUUAGCAGAAACUGAAAGUAACUCCACUUUAACAUUCUGUUGUAUUGGUAUCAUAUAUCAGAUAAUGAGUUCUGUAUUUUCUCAGUUAAUAUGAGUUGUAAGUAACAGGAGACCCAAAACAGGAUGGCCUAAACAAGUAAGGGGGUUUAUUGGUCUGGUUAAGUCGAAAGGAAGGGACUAAGUCUGACUUCAGGUUUCAUUUACUUGAUAGACUUACGGGUAGCAACAAUUGUGUUUUUUUUUUAUCGUUGUCUCCCUGAGGAGUCUUUUCAGACGUCUUCAUGCUCCUCCUCAAAGUUCUUUUUUUUUUUUUUUAAGAAUUUUCAAUAUUUGAAAGGCAGAAUUACAGAGAGAGGGAACCAUGCAUAUCUGAAAGCAGGAGCCAGGAACAUCAUCCAGAUCUCCCAAGUGGGUGGCAGGGACUCAAGCCCUGAACCCUAAUCUACUGCAUCUCAGGCACCUUAACAGAGAGCUAGAUUGGAAGCCAAGUAGCCGCAAGUUGAACAGGGACUGUUACAGGAUGUGGGCACCUACUGUGCCAGAGCACCUGCCCCUCCCUAAAGUUUUACUAUAAAAUAUACUUUAUA